CAGAUCUUGAAAUUAAUGUCACAAUAUUCGAAGAGGACAUUCGGGACAUUGUGCUCAAAGCUUCGAGUCUGGUUGGUGGUUCAAGGAUUGUUUAAUGUGUAAUUUAAAUGGUUUAUAUGAUAGGAAUACAAAUACAUCGAAAAAACCUGGUGUAAAAUGGAAUCACUGGAGUUAAAGCUCACUUAAAUUUGUUCAAAUGAUGAUUAGACCAAAAUAGAAGCAGAAAUCUCAAAUAAAGAAAAUAAUUUUAAAGCGCAGUUGCGAGUAAAUAAAUACAUUCCAUUUAAUCUGAGUUAAUUUCAAAACAGGAAAAGCCCACUGUAUCAGCGAUACCAUUUGAAUUCGCUUGUGAGCGGACGCAUUGUCAAAUUGUGUAUGUGUGUCAGUCAAGCAAACAAUAGCGGGGAGUCCAUGUUUCAUAUGCUCUGCCAUUCCAUCGCCCCGCCCCUCCCAGCAAAAGCUAAAUGAAGAGAACGAGCCAUCAUCUGACAGACCGCAGAGACCCAUGCGAAGCCGACGCUGGAGUGACGCACUGUCAGAUACAACAACCCAGCGACAGACGGAGCAACUGUCAGGCUGUAGAACGUAUAAAGUACGAGAGUAUAUAUCACAUUGGAUCACAUGAAGUUUACUCUCGCAUCCCAUACUCAAAAUCACUCUUCAGUCACAGGCUGUGUUGUUGGUUUAUUGCUGUUUGCCCACCAGUUUGUCUUUUGGGACUUGAUUAUGAUGUCCUUUAAAUGAAUGGCUUUUGGGCAUCGAUCAGACGUCCUCACCCUUCU